rnacentral:rRNA from 1 species
UGCGUACCUUUUGUAUAAUGGGUCAGCGACUUAUAUUCUGUAGCAAGGUUAACCGAAUAGGGGAGCCGGAGGGAAACCGAGUCUUAAUUGGGCGUUAAGUUGCAGGGUAUAGACCCGAAACCCGGUGAUCUAGCCAUGGGCAGGUUGAAGGUUGGGUAACACUAACUGGAGGACCGAACCGACUAAUGUUGAAAAAUUAGCGGAUGACCUGUGGCUGGGGGUGAAAGGCCAAUCAAACCGGGAGAUAGCUGGUUCUCCCCGAAAGCUAUUUAGGUAGCGCCUCGUGAAUUCAUCUCCGGGGGUAGAGCACUGUUUCGGCUAGGGGGCCAUCCCGGCUUACCAACCCGAUGCAAACUGCGAAUACCGGAGAAUGUUAUCACGGGAGACACACGGCGGGUGCUAACGUCCGUCGUGAAGAGGGAAACAACCCAGACCGCCAGCUAAGGUCCCAAAGUCAUGGUUAAGUGGGAAACGAUGUGGGAAGGCCCAGACAGCCAGGAUGUUGGCUUAGAAGCAGCCAUCAUUUAAAGAAAGCGUAAUAGCUCACUGGUCGAGUCGGCCUGCGCGGAAGAUGUAACGGGGCUAAACCAUGCACCGAAGCUGCGGCAGCGACACUGUGUGUUGUUGGGUAGGGGAGCGUUCUGUAAGCCUGUGAAGGUGUGUCGUGAGGCAUGCUGGAGGUAUCAGAAGUGCGAAUGCUGACAUAAGUAACGAUAAAGCGGGUGAAAAGCCCGCUCGCCGGAAGACCAAGGGUUCCUGUCCAACGUUAAUCGGGGCAGGGUGAGUCGACCCCUAAGGCGAGGCCGAAAGGCGUAGUCGAUGGGAAACGGGUUAAUAUUCCCGUACUUGGUGUUACUGCGAAGGGGGGACGGAGAAGGCUAUGUUGGCCGGGCGACGGUUGUCCCGGUUUAAGCGUGUAGGUGUGUGUUCCAGGUAAAUCCGGUUCACUUUAACACUGAGGCGUGACGACGAGGCACUACGGUGCUGAAGCAACAAAUGCCCUGCUUCCAGGAAAAGCCUCUAAGCAUCAGGUAACAUCAAAUCGUACCCCAAACCGACACAGGUGGUCAGGUAGAGAAUACCAAGGCGCUUGAGAGAACUCGGGUGAAGGAACUAGGCAAAAUGGUGCCGUAACUUCGGGAGAAGGCACGCUGACACGUAGGUGAAGUGAUUUACUCAUGGAGCUGAAGUCAGUCGAAGAUACCAGCUGGCUGCAACUGUUUAUUAAAAACACAGCACUGUGCAAACACGAAAGUGGACGUAUACGGUGUGACGCCUGCCCGGUGCCGGAAGGUUAAUUGAUGGGGUCAGCGCAAGCGAAGCUCCUGAUCGAAGCCCCGGUAAACGGCGGCCGUAACUAUAACGGUCCUAAGGUAGCGAAAUUCCUUGUCGGGUAAGUUCCGACCUGCACGAAUGGCGUAAUGAUGGCCAGGCUGUCUCCACCCGAGACUCAGUGAAAUUGAACUCGCUGUGAAGAUGCAGUGUACCCGCGGCAAGACGGAAAGACCCCGUGAACCUUUACUAUAGCUUGACACUGAACAUUGAGCCUUGAUGUGUAGGAUAGGUGGGAGGCUUUGAAGCGUGGACGCCAGUCUGCGUGGAGCCGACCUUGAAAUACCACCCUUUAAUGUUUGAUGUUCUAACGUGGACCCGU